UACACGCCUAUUUUAGUCGACCUGGAUCAUGAAAAGUAUGGGGUUUAAACCUCAGAUAAGCAAGCUUCAUACUUUUCAAUAUACAUAUACAACUCUUGUCUUGGUGUCUUGCGCUGAACACUUUAGCUUAUAAUGAAUACAACUUUAAUAAUAUACCUACAUGAAAAAAUAUUCAACUAUGACUAUGGCAAAGAGCCGGUGCAAUUUUGUCGUAAUACAAUGCCAAAAUGCAAAAGAAUUUCACACCAUUCUUUUAUGAUUGGCAUUGUGAAGAAAACACAAAAUUGCCAAAUAAGAUAUAUACUUUGCCAAACUUGCUUCGUGCUUGAGAUAUUUAACAAUUUUUGCUAUUCAAAUUAUCUUCACUAUAUGACGUUGCAUUGCAUAAUGACUUCCUGCCAAAAAUGUCAAGCUCUUGGGAUAUUGUGCAUCGAGGUCAUAUGUAUAUAUGGGUUAUGACAACAUACUACAAAUCAAUGUUAAGGCCCGUUUAUACUUACGAUUUUUGCUGCGAUUUCAGAUGCGAUUUUCUUCUCCUGAUGUAUGUGAACGAAUGGAUGAGUUAGGAUGAGGGACGAUGAGGGAUGAUGACGUAUAAACUCGUAUAUGAUGAUAUAUAUAAACUUUUAUAAUAUAGCAUUUGUAAAUUUCAUUGGCUAAGAGCCGUGUUGAUAUAACUCAAUGUCAACACGGAAACGUCGGAAAAUU